rnacentral:misc_RNA from 1 species
GAAGAAAGAAAGAAAAAAGAGACCAUGAACUAUGCCAAUUGCUAGUGGUAGCAGCCUUUACUAGCAAGAUAUCUAGAGCAUGGCAAGGGAGACAUAUCUUUUUACCACUUUGUACCUCACAAGUGCAUGCCUCUAUAAUGCUAUCACCUACCUCAUCCCCGUAGAUGCAAUAGCCCAAUUAUCUAAGUGACAUAUGCCACAAUCAUGCCCUUAAAAACUACAACACUAACAACAAAGCCUUAAUC